UAUGGUGGUCAUGUUGCUGGUUCGACCCCAUAUGUUCCAGAUGUGAGGUCGUCGUAAGAGGGAACCCGGUGUGAGUCCGGGACUGCCCCGCAGCGGUGAGUGGGAACGACAGCCGUCAUGACGCACUGGGCUUACAGCCUGGGAAGCGACGGCCAGUAGAUGGGCCAACCAGCCCGUGCCCGCGAGUCCGAAGACCUGCCAGCAAGCAGCCGCCCCA
rnacentral:ncRNA from 1 species